rnacentral:ncRNA from 1 species
UUUGGUCACCCACCGCGGGUGCCAAGAGGGAAGCCGGUGAGAGUCCGGCGCAGUCCCGCUGCUGUAAGCUCAAUAACUGAAGCUCAAUAAGAUAUGUCACUUUACAACGCCAUAGUUGUAUGGGAAGACAGAGCCGAGGAGAGCAAGCCAGAAGACCUGCCAAAUCUGUA